rnacentral:rRNA from 1 species
GACAGAGGAUGCAAGCGUUAUCCGGAAUGAUUGGGCGUAAAGCGUCUGUAGGGUGGCCUGGAAGGUCAGCUGUGAAACGUCGAGGCUCAACCUCGAGACGUCGGUUGAAACCACCUGGCUAGAGUCCGGAAGAGGAGUGUGGGAAGUUCCUGGUGUGAUGCGGUGAAUGCGCAGGAUAUCAGGAGGAACACCGGUGGCGAAGGCGGAUCUCUGGGCCGUAACUGGACGCUGAGGAGCGAAAGCAUGGGGAGCGAACAGG